rnacentral:rRNA from 1 species
GACGAACGCUGGCGGCGUGCCUAAUACAUGCAAGUCGAACGCAGUUGCGAACGGGUGAGUAACGCGUAGGUAACUGCCUCAUAGCGGGGGAUAACUAUUGGAAACGAUAGCUAAUACCGCAUACUGUGAGAUGGACCUGGGUUGUAUUAGCUAGUUGGUGAGGUAAAGGCUCACCAAGGCGACGAUACAUAGCCGACCUGAGAGGAUGACGGGCCACACGGGGACGGAGACCAGGCCAAGAUCCCACGGGGGGGCAGCGGUGGGGAUUAUUGGACAUGGGGGGAAGUCCGGAUGAACACAGCCGGGGUGGUGAAGGAAGGUUUGAGGGCGGAAAGCUAUGUUGAGAGGGGAGCGGUAACCACACAAAAAGGAACGGCUAACUCCGUGCCAGCAGCCGCGGUAAUUC